CUCUGCAUUAGACAGCUAGCUAUUAUGAUUAUACACUACGUUUCCUAUGUUAUGUGCUUGGUUUUCCUCUUUUGCUCACUCCUUCCAUUGUUGGUGAAGGACCGGUCAGUCCAUAGUUCAUCGUUUGGCUUGCUUCUCGCUAAGCUCUUUCUUCCUUGUCUCCUGUUCGGUAAAAUGUCUAAGAGCUGACACAGUUUUGUUUCUUGUUUCCUUGCCUGUCCAGGUUCUUUGUUGGUUCGUUGGCAGUUCCUAAUUUUUUUCCUGUAGCCGGUUGAGGGAUUCCACCAUUAGCAUAAAGAUCAAGGCGGCGAGCGGUGGCCGUGGAAAGCAGGGGUUCCACAAUUGGCUACAUCGUCUCAAGGAGAAGAAUUCUUACAUGAUCCCUAUAACUGCUCGUUUUGUUGAUGUCUUCGCCCUAUGUGUCCAGACCAUGCUUGCCAAUAAAGUUGAAUGUGCUGGAGCAAUAGUUCUAAAACUUCAUUAAGUCGAAGUAGGCAACAUUUUUUCUUAGUGGCCUUCUUUCUCCGUCGUAUCUCAAAUGCAAGCAAGCAUGCCUUUGCUAAGGGUUAGAAGAAGCCAAUGAAAAUUUAUGCAAAUGAUGGCUCUAAGGGUUAGAAGAAGCCAAGGAGUAUGUGAUAGGCUUUUUUGAUAGUUUAUCAGAAGAAAGUGUAGAAGAAAAUGGAGAGGAUGAUGAAGUGACUCAAAUAGAAGUACGAAAUAUCUGCUUCAGCAAGCUAGGUAUGUUCGAGGAAAUAAUACUAUGCAACAUAUUUUGUUUAUAUGCUUGUGUAGACUGACCAGCUAAGUUUAUCCAUGAAGGCCUUCGUAGAUAGACAUCAUACAUGAUAACAAUGUGUGGGUAACAUCUCAACAAGGGUGUAUUUAUCUGAACUAUCAGCUGCAAUUCUUUUGGUUCCCAAUUCUUCCAGUUGUCCAAAUUAGCUGAUUGUCCAGAAGCUUAUUAGUGAAUCUGAUGGGUCAUCUCAUGCUUGCAAGCUUAAUCUUUUCACAUUGGAUUUUCUUGUGCUUAGUUUUGUUCUGACCAGACUUAUUUCUUAGUGCUCCUCCGUGUUCCUCUGCAUAACUGGAUGUGGGGAAGCACCUUACGUGAUUAUGUGAUGAUUCUUACAAUCCUGCCAAUUGUGUCACAUAUGGAUAAGAGGAUAUAUAUUCUAGAAUAUCACAAAAACACACAUUUUUACUCAGGUUGUCAUUGAUUGGUUGAUUCAACAACA